UACGAAGGGGGCUAGCGUUGCUCGGAAUCACUGGGCGUAAAGGGUGCGUAGGCGGGUCUUUAAGUCAGGGGUGAAAUCCUGGAGCUCAACUCCAGAACUGGCCUUUUGAUACUGAAGAUCUUGAGUUCGGGAGAGGUGAGUGGAACUGCGAGUGUAGAGGUGAAAUUCGUAGAUAUUCGCAAGAACACCAGUGGCGAAAGGCGGCUCACUGGCCCGAUACUGACGCUGAGGCACGAAAGCGUGGGGAGCAA
rnacentral:rRNA from 1 species